UUAAUCACAGAUGACCCUUUACCCCACCCCAUUUCACAAAAUUUGCCACCUCUGAAUCCCCUUCUCUCUUAAGUCUGUCUCAAAAUCUAGCCACCGCCAUCAACCACAACCCUAAUACCUCCCCAAAUCUAUCGUUCCCAAAGUCAUCGGAGACCUGUAUCCACCUCUCAUGGCUUCUGCGUGUUCGAUUCUUUUGGUCUUAAGGCUAGAUCUCGAAAGAGCUUGGUCCAGGCCUUGUUCGAUUACAGUUCAUGACUAUUUUCUAGUCAUCUCUGGCCUUUUCUCCGGCCAACCAUGGCUAUUCGAGUCAGACUCUUGACUCUCCUGCUUAGAUCGUUAGUUUUCAAAGCCUUUCUCACCACUUAGGGUUCUUAUGAAACCUUAGCCUUUAAGGUUCUUUCAAUUUCUUUUUAGAUCUGCUUCAGAUCUAUGUUUGCUUUGAACUUCUAAGUAUUUUUCUCAAAUUUUCUUUUAAAAAUUCUUCUUUCAAAACCCCUUAUCUUUUCGAUUAGGGUUUCUGUUAAGUUAUUUCAAAAACGUUUCUCUGAUUUUUUGACAUGUUUGGCUAUGUUUUCUUAUAUUGUUCUUCUACCUGAGUUUGCAUGUUAAAACCCCUAAUUUCUUUUAACUAUAUUAAAUAAAUUUUUGUUUGCCUGAGUUUUGUCCGAUCUGUUUGUUAUUCCCUUUUAAAACUCUUUUAUUGUUAAAAAGCCUAUGGUUUUGUGUCUGAGAAUAUUGUAUGGUUUCUUCGCAUGUUUUUGAUAUUGUGAGACCUUCGCAUGUUUCUGAUAUUGUGUGGUUUCUUCACUACUUGACCUAUUGGACUGACAUGCUUCGAGUGUUGCUAUCUACUGAAUCUUUGUGUUACCGUUGUGUGCUCUUUCCAACAGGCCUAACCUUAUAAUAUUUAUGCACCUUAUUUAUACAUCGAGUCUCCUUCUCUGACUAAUUUUUCAAACUCGUGACUGAGUAUAAACUUUCCCUUUGUGAAAUACUGAUUUCACUCGCCUAUUAUGGUUAAUUGAUUUCUUUUCUUGUUUUGCCUUAAUGAAUCCUUUCCAAAAUUAGAGUAUCUAUGUACUUAGACUCGACUUUCUUACUUGUUAUUUUACUACUCCUUCGAUGGCAACUGUCAACCUACUUUUUAAUUGAUUACUUUCCUUAUUUUGUACCUGUCACUGCCCGUUAAGCAAGUGACCCCUUAAUUAAGGGCAAUCACUUGUAUAAUUAAUUCUGAAUCAUGAUUGUUUCCAUGUUUGUAGCUUAUCAUCUCUUUCUUACUCAAUUUCAAAAACUAUAUAUACCUGGUACUUCUUCUCUUUGAAAAGGCACGAACACAAGGCAUAAACACUUGAGUACAACACACAUUCCACUAAAUCUCUCUCUUUUUUCUCUGUAACUACUAUAUUGAUGCCUUACCUAGCCGGCUGAAAGCCAAGGCUAGGCUGUGGGAAACUUGAUUAUUUUCUGCAUUUUGUAUUUCGUACUGGUAUGUUCAAUUAAGUUUUGUGCACCAACAAUAACAUGCUUACUUAAUGUUUCUUGCAUUCGUGUCUGCCUAUUGCUUGCAUUUAACCAAGUACCAUUCUUUAGCAUACCGUAAUUUCCCUAUCAUGAAUCAACGUAUUAUGAAUCCCAAAUCCCUACCCCCAUUGUGUUUAAUACUUGUGGUUGGUUUGGGUCAUGAUAGCAUUGAACAUUGCUGAGCAUGACCCAAACUUAAUCCUCCUAGGAUCAUAACCUCCAUGUUUCCCUUAUAUAUUGUGUGUUCUGGUUGAUUUACAAGCAUGACAGCACCCCUUAUUGUUGUGCAUGGCUAGAAUUAACCCAUGCCUAAGUAUAAAGGCUCCUUGCAAUGGAUUCUCAAUCCCCUACCCUAUUGUGUGAAGUGUUAAUGGUUCUAUCCCAUCUCUAUCUCCCUCUCCUUUAUUCCCUCAUCUCUUAAAACUAUGUUUCUACACUUGCACUAUCUUCUUAGAUUUAUGUUCUUCUCCCCCCCCCCCAAGUGAGCCUUGCCUUCAGACCCAUGAGCUCCCUCUGAACUUGCACACAUGAGGCUGGCAUUUCCAUAUUGCACUUGACCCUAUUGUGGUUAUGAAACUUGAGUGUGAGUACUACCCGGGGUCUAUUGAAGACCUUGUGGAACUCUGACACACUCAAGUCUGAGAAAGGCUUUGGAUCAAUGGUAUUUUGAGUUGGUUUAUCUCAUAACUCAGAGAGGAAGUCAAGAACCAGGCUUCCUCUGGUUGUAACUUUUCUUUGUACUUUUUCUGAUGUAAUUUUUAUUCCUAGUUUGUAAUAAUUUAUUACGAACAUUUGGGGAUGGUUAGAGAAAAGGGUUGGGAAAUUAUGCAUAUUCAAGGGUAGAAAACGUGCCUAUAGGACUGCGUUCUCUACUUGUUCAUUACAUUUCGAAACCAUGCCUAUAUGACUACUUUUAACACUGUAUAUUCACAUUGCAUUUAGAAACCAUGUCAAUAGGAUUUACUUGUUCAACUUCAUAUCUAGAUAACCAAUAGGGAUUAUCUAAAAUUUUGCACAUUUAUCACCGUUUAGAUAUCAUGUUUUUAGGGCCUAAUUUGUUAUAACCCAGUAGCAUGUUGCAAUCAGUAACAUAUAGAAAUCAUGCCUAUAGGGGUUCUUAAGUAAAAUUCUAUUCUGCUUAGAUGCAAUGCUAAGUAUCAUGUCUAUCAGGGUCUAAAAUCAGUAACGCAUAGAAAUCAUGCCUGUAGGGAUUCUUAAAUAAAUCCGAGUCAUUCCAUUCACAUUCAAUGUAAGAUAUCAUGCCUAUGUGGAUUAAAAUUAGCAAUAGUAGAUACUAUCACCUGCAGAAUGUGGAACUAAUCUAAUUUAAAUUCGUCCCUUCUGAACCUUUUAAUGACCUAAUUCUUUUACUUAACAAGGUUUAGAAAGCAUGUCUAUAGGAUUUCAAAAAAUUCGUUCUGAGUUAUUAUUGUUUUGCCACAUUCUAAAUUGAGUAGAUAUCAUGCCCAUAGGACUCCGUCUAAAUACAUAGGCAAGCCAUAGAAUAAUAAAUGUAAAACUAAAUCAGUUUUUGUUAAUUGCUACAACCAACAGGCAGGCCUGAUUCGCACUUCUCAUCUGAGUUAUAUAAUAAACUAAUCUGCCUCAAUAAUUAAUGACAUGGCUAGAAUGCGGGUUUUUGAGGACAUGGCCCUUGAUAGAAAAGUCUGGAGGUCUAGUAUCAGGGUUGUAGGAUAAGGGCCCCUAGAGUUUUUCGUACUCCUCACUCGGGGUUGGGUGAGGCUUAGCAGGG
rnacentral:lncRNA from 1 species